AGUGAACGCUGGCGGUAGGCCUAACACAUGCAAGUCGAACGGCAGCACAGUAAGAGCUUGCUCUUACGGGUGGCGAGUGGCGGACGGGUGAGGAAUACAUCGGAAUCUACUUUUUCGUGGGGGAUAACGUAGGGAAACUUACGCUAAUACCGCAUACGACCUACGGGUGAAAGCAGUGGAUCUUCGGACCUUGCGCGAUUGAAUGAGCCGAUGUCGGAUUAGCUAGUUGGCGGGGUAAAGGCCCACCAAGGCGACGAUCCGUAGCUGGUCUGAGAGGAUGAUCGGCCACACUGGAACUGAGACACGGUCCAGACUCCUACGGGAGGCAGCAGUAGGGAAUAUUGGACAAUGGGCGCAAGCCUGAUCCAGCCAUGCCGCGUGGGUGAAGAAGGCCUUCGGGUUGUAAAGCCCUUUUGUUGGGAAAGAAAAGCAGCAGGUUUAUCCCCGGCUGUUCUGACGGUACCCAAAGAAUAAGCACCGGCUAACUUCGUG
rnacentral:rRNA from 1 species